GGCGAACGGGUGAGUAACACGUGGAUAACCUGCCUCAAGGCUGGGGAUAACAUUUGGAAACAGAUGCUAAUACCGAAUAAAACUUAGUAUCGCAUGAUAUCAAGUUAAAAGGCGCUACGGCGUCACCUAGAGAUGGAUCCGCGGUGCAUUAGUUAGUUGGUGGGGUAAAGGCUUACCAAGACGAUGAUGCAUAGCCGAGUUGAGAGACUGAUCGGCCACAUUGGGACUGAGACACGGCCCAAACUCCUACGGGAGGCUGCAGUAGGGAAUCUUCCACAAUGGGCGCAAGCCUGAUGGAGCAACGCCGCGUGUGUGAUGAAGGCUUUCGGGUCGUAAAGCACUGUUGUAUGGGAAGAAAUGCUAAAAUAGGGAAUGAUUUUAGUUUGACGGUACCAUACCAGAAAGGGACGGCUAAAUACGUGCCAGCAGCCGCGGUAAUACGUAUGUCCCGAGCGUUAUCCGGAUUUAUUGGGCGUAAAGCGAGCGCAGACGGUUGAUUAAGUCUGAUGUGAAAGCCCGGAGCUCAACUCCGGAAUGGCAUUGGAAACUGGUUAACUUGAGUGUUGUAGAGGUAAGUGGAACUCCAUGUGUAGCGGUGGAAUGCGUAGAUAUAUGGAAGAACACCAGUGGCGAAGGCGGCUUACUGGACAACAACUGACGUUGAGGCUCGAAAGUGUGGGUAGCAAACAGGAUUAGAUACCCUGGUAGUCCACACCGUAAACGAUGAAUACUAGGUGUUAGGAGGUUUCCGCCUCUUAGUGCCGAAGCUAACGCAUUAAGUAUUCCGCCUGGGGAGUACGACCGCAAGGUUGAAAC
rnacentral:rRNA from 1 species